GCGGUGAACCGCGGAAAGGUGUGCACAUCGUAAAAUCACUACUGCGAUGUACGCCCUUUCGCAGUUUACUGC
rnacentral:pre_miRNA from 1 species